GCUUCAAUUGCCGGCGACCGGCGCACGGGUGAGUAACGCGUAUCCAACCUUCCGUACACUCAGGGAUAGCCUUUCGAAAGAAAGAUUAAUACCUGAUGGUAUGAUGAGAUUGCAUGAUAGCAUCAUUAAAGAUUUAUCGGUGUACGAUGGGGAUGCGUUCCAUUAGGUAGUAGGCGGGGUAACGGCCCACCUAGCCAACGAUGGAUAGGGGUUCUGAGAGGAAGGUCCCCCACAUUGGAACUGAGACACGGUCCAAACUCCUACGGGAGGCAGCAGUGAGGAAUAUUGGUCAAUGGACGAGAGUCUGAACCAGCCAAGUAGCGUGAAGGAUGAAGGUCCUACGGAUUGUAAACUUCUUUUAUAAGGGAAUAAACCCUCCCACGUGUGGGAGCUUGUAUGUACCUUAUGAAUAAGCAUCGGCUAACUCCGUGCCAGCAGCCGCGGUAAUACGGAGGAUGCGAGCGUUAUCCGGAUUUAUUGGGUUUAAAGGGAGCGCAGACGGGUCGUUAAGUCAGCUGUGAAAGUUUGGGGCUCAACCUUAAAAUUGCAGUUGAUACUGGCGUCCUUGAGUGCGGUUGAGGUGUGCGGAAUUCGUGGUGUAGCGGUGAAAUGCUUAGAUAUCACGAAGAACUCCGAUUGCGAAGGCAGCACACUAAUCCGUAACUGACGUUCAUGCUCGAAAGUGUGGGUAUCAAACAGGAUUAGAUACCCUGGUAGUCCACACGGUAAACGAUGGAUACUC
rnacentral:rRNA from 1 species